rnacentral:rRNA from 1 species
AUUGAUAUGACGAGCUUGCUCUGAUUUGAUUUUAUCUGACAAAGAGUGGCGAACGGGUGAGUAACACGUGGGUAACCUACCUCUUAGCAGGGGAUAACAUUUGGAAACAAGUGCUAAUACCGUAUAAUACCAACAACCGCAUGGUUGUUGGUUGAAAGAUGGUUCUGCUAUCACUAAGAGAUGGACCCGCGGUGCAUUAGCUAGUUGGUAAGGUAACGGCUUACCAAGGCAAUGAUGCAUAGCCGAGUUGAGAGACUGAUCGGCCACAAUGGGACUGAGACACGGCCCAUACUCCUACGGGAGGCAGCAGUAGGGAAUCUUCCACAAUGGGCGCAAGCCUGAUGGAGCAACGCCGCGUGUGUGAUGAAGGGUUUCGGCUCGUAAAACACUGUUAUAAGAGAAGAACGGCACUGAGAGUAACUGUUCAGUGUGUGACGGUAUCUUACCAGAAAGGAACGGCUAAAUACGUGCCAGCAGCCGCGGUAAUACGUAUGUUCCAAGCGUUAUCCGGAUUUAUUGGGCGUAAAGCGAGCGCAGACGGUUAUUUAAGUCUGAAGUGAAAGCCCUCAGCUCAACUGAGGAAUGGCUUUGGAAACUGGAUGACUUGAGUGCAGUAGAGGAAAGUGG